rnacentral:rRNA from 1 species
GACAGAGGUCCCGAGCGUUGUUCGGAUUCAUUGGGCGUAAAGGGUGUGUAGGAGGUCGGGUAAGUCAGGUGUGAAAUCUCGGAGCUUAACUCCGAAACUGCGCUUGAUACUGCUCGGCUAGAGGAUCGGAGGGGGUAACGGAAUUCAUGGUGUAGCAGUGAAAUGCGUAGAUAUCAUGAGGAACACCGGUGGCGAAGGCGGCUUCCUGGACCGACACUGACGCUGAGGCGCGAAAGCUAGGGGAGCAAACGGG